CCAACACGCAGAGAGUUGCCCCAACAUAACAAACGAACGAAGUGAUUUUAUAGAAAUUCGGUAUUUUAGUAGAUACGCGAACUCUAUACGGUAAACACGUUGAGGACGGAUAAGGAACGUCUUUUUGCUUUUUAUUUUUUCGUUAGAUAUUUGAAGUAAAAGUUUGAAGACGUGUGAGAAAAGAUAAAAUCCGAAAAAAAAUUAAAAAAAGAAUAGAAACGAUAAUAAAAAUCUAUACGAAGUAUUUGCGGUAAUUACGGUUAACGAAAUGUAAAAACAAAAAAAUAUUACAAUGUGCAAAAAACGUAUAGGCAAACGAGCUUAACGAUUUUAAAGUCAAAUGUAUAUACGUUUAAUAAAACGAUUAUAGUGCAAAAGCUCAAGUGUUAAUACUAUAAAAGAUUUGUUAAAAAAAAUUAAAAUUCUACUAAAAUAAAGAAAAAUUUAAAACAAAAUGUUGAGUUUUGCCAGAUUUUUUAUUGAGGAAUAUUAAAAAAUUUAAACAAAUCAAAAAAUAUCUUUUGAAUAAGCUGCUCAAAGCUACUAAAAGAUAAACAACCACAAAAACAUUUGUUUACAACAACAAGUCAUACUGUUUAAAACAAGAAAUAAAAGAUUCAUUGGAAAACAAAAUUCACAACGAAUAACAACUUAAUUUAAUAAAAGUAAAUAAUAAACAAAAAAGAAAAUCGGCAAACAACAUAUCAGUGUGAAAAAUAUAUAUAACAAAAUAAAAAAAGCUAUUCAGAAAAAAUCUGUUUAAAUAUAAAUAAUUAAGUCUGCAAAAGUCUAAAGUCUACCAAUACUAUUCAAAUAUACAUA